rnacentral:rRNA from 1 species
UCUCCGUUGGUGAACCAGCGGAGGGAUCAUUAUAGAGUUCUUAAAAAAAAGACUCCCAAACCCCAUGUGGAACAUACCUCUCGUUGCCUCGGCAGGUCGCGCCUACCCGGUACCCCCUUACCCUGUAAGGCCUUACCCCGUGAGCGCGGACGAGCCUGCCGGCGGACCAACAAACUCUGUUUGAAACACCCGGACCCUCUGACCUUUUGUAACUUAAUGAGUUAAAACUUUCAACAACGGAUCUCUUGGUUCUGGCAUCGAUGAAGAACGCAGCGAAAUGCGAUAAGUAAUGUGAAUUGCAGAAUUCAGUGAAUCAUCGAAUCUUUGAACGCACAUUGCGCCCAUUAGCAUUCUAGUGGGCAUGCCUGUUCGAGCGUCAUUUCAACCCUUAAGCCCCCGUUGCUUAGUGUUGGGAGCCCACAGCACCUGUGUUUGUAGCUCCUCAAAGUUAGUGGGCGGAGUCGGUCUCGCACUCUGGACGUAGUACAUCUCUCUCGUCCACCAGGUGAGCCGGGUUUCCCGCCGUAAAACCCCCCCCCAAAUCUUUCAAGGUUGACCUCGUAUCAGGUAGGAAUACCCGCUGAACUUAA